rnacentral:rRNA from 1 species
ACGAAACGCUGGCGGCCGUGCCUAACACAUGCAAGGUCGUGCGGGAAAGUAGGGGGCAAACUCUACGAGUAGAGCGGCGCACGGGUGAGUAACACGUAGGUAACCUGGCCUUCGAGACUGGGAUAACCUGUCGAAAGACGGGCUAAUACCGGAUAAGACCACGAGAGUUGCGGCUCUUGGGGUAAAUGGUGGCCUCUGCUUGCAAGCUACCACUCGGAGAUGGCCUGCCGCGCCAUUAGCUUGUUGGCGGGGUAAUGGCCCCACCAAGGCAAAGAUGGCUAGCUGGUCUGAGAGGAUGGCCAGCCACACUUGGGACUGAGAACACGGCCCAGACUCCUACGGGAGGCAGCAGUGGGGAAUAUUGCGCAAUGGGCCGAAAAGGCCUGACGCAGCGGGACGGCCGCGUGGGUGAUGAAGGCCUUCGGGUCGUAAGGCCCUGUCGGGAGGGACGAAAACCUCGGCGACCUAAUACGUCGUCGACUUGACGGUACCUCCUAAGGAAGCCACCGGCUAACUCCGUGCCAGCAAGCCGCGGUAAUACGGAGGGUGCAAGCGUUGUUCGGAAUCACUGGGCGUAAAGCGCGUUGUAGGCGGUUUCUUAAAGUCCUGAUGUGAAAGGCCCGGGGCUUACCCCCGGAAGUGCAUUGGAAACUGGGAAAACUAGAGUACCGGAGAGGAGGGUGGGAAUUCCUGGUGUAGCGGUUGAAAUGCGUAGAUAUUCAGGAGGAAACACCGGUGGCGAAAGGCGGCCCUCUGGACGGAUUACUGACGGCCUGAGACGCGAAAGCGUGGGGAGCAAACAGGAUUAGAUACCCUGGUAGUCCACGGCCGUAAACGAUGGGGCACUAGGUGUUCGGGGUAUUGACCCCCUGAGUGCCGCAGCUAACGCAUUAAGUGCCCCGCCUGGGGACUACGGCCGCAAGGUUAAAACUCAAAGGAAUUGGACGGGGGGCCCGCACAAGCGGUGGAGCAUGUGGUUCAAUUCGACGCAACGCGAAGAAAACCUUACCUGGGCUAGACAAACAUCGGACAGGCUUCCAGAAAUGGGGUCUUCCCGCAAGGGACCGGUGGUUUCAGGUGCUGCAUGGCUGUCGUCAGCUCGUGUCGUGAGAUGUUGGGUUAAGUCCCGCAACCGAGGCGCAAACCCCCUGUCUCUAGUUGCUACCAUUUAGUUGAGCACUCUAGAGAGGAACUGCCCGUGUUUAAAACGGGAGGAAGGUGGGGAUGGACGUCAAGGUCCUCAUGGCCCCUUAUGUUCCAGGGCUACACAACGUGCUACAAUGGGCGGUUAACAAAGGGCCUGCGAACCCCGCGAGGGGGAGCCAAUCCCAAAAAAGCCGCUCUCAGUUCGGAUUGGGGUCUGCAACUCCGAACCCCAUGAAGGGCGGAAUUCGCUAGUAAUCGCGGAUCAGGCAUGCCGCGGUUGAAAUUACGUUCCCCGGGCCUUGUACACACCGCCCCGUCACACCAUGGAAGCCAGUUGUACCGGAAGGUCGGUCACUCAACCCGCAAGGGAGAUAGCCGCCCAUGGUAUGGGCUGGGUGAACUGGGGUG